GCCAGCGUGGCAUAAUGGUUUGAGUGUUGGACUAUGACUCUGGAGACCAGGGUUUGAAUCCCAUUUGGCC
rnacentral:tRNA from 1 species